ensembl:rRNA 5S_rRNA 5S ribosomal RNA
GUCUAUGGCCAUACCACCCUGAACACACACACCCAAUCUCAUCUGAUAUCGGAAGCUAAGCAGGGUCGGGCCUGGUUAGUACUGGAUGGGAGAAAUUAAUUUGUACUGGGUGUCACUUUACA